GAUAAUGAAGUUAAAAAUUACAAUUAGUUUCGACCUAAUAUUAGGAUAAUAUAUCCCUUAUCU
rnacentral:tRNA from 1 species